GGGGUUGUAGCUCAGUGGUAGAGCUCUCAUCUAGUAUGUGCAGUGCAAGGUCCUGGGUUCGAUCCUCAGCACCACA
rnacentral:tRNA from 1 species